UACGAAGGGUGCAAGCGUUACUCGGAAUUACUGGGCGUAAAGCGUGCGUAGGCGGUUUGUUAAGUCCGCUGUGAAAGCCCUGGGCUCAACCUGGGAAUUGCAGUGGAUACUGGCAAGCUAGAGUGCGGUAGAGGAUGGUGGAAUUCCCGGUGUAGCGGUGAAAUGCGUAGAGAUCCGGAGGAACACCAGUGGCGAAGGCGGUCUGCUAGCCCGACACCUGACACUCAGACGCGAAAGCAUGGGGAGCGAACGGGG
rnacentral:rRNA from 1 species